CGCACUGUAUGGUAUCUGCACUCAAUGGCUUCUCCUGUUGUGGUGUUCAUUACACAGUGCAAUACUAAAUCAGUAAGUGGCAUCGUUGGUUUUCAGGCCUUUUGUGUCUGGAAACCUGGUUUUAAUGCUGAGACAAUG